AUCGAACGCUGGCGGCAGGCCUAACACAUGCAAGUCGAACGAGUGGCGGACGGGUGAGUAAUGUCUGGGAAACUGCCUGAUGGAGGGGGAAAACUACUGGAAACGGUAGCUAAUACCGCAUACCAUCGGAUGUGCCCAGAUGGGAUUAGCUAGGAGGUGGGGGAAAGGCUAACCUAGGCGACGAUCCCGAGCUGGUCUGAGAGGAUGACCACCCACCCUGGAACUGAGACACGGUCCAUAUUCCUACGGGAGGCAGCAGUGGGGAAUAUUGGACAUGGGGCGCAAUCCUGAGGCAGCCAUUCCGCGUGUAGGAAGAAGGCCUUCGGUUUGUAAAGUGCUUUCAGCGGGGAGGCGUUACCCGCCGAGGAAGCACCGGCUAACUCCGUGCCAGCCGCCGCGGUAAUUC
rnacentral:rRNA from 1 species